rnacentral:rRNA from 1 species
GACGAACGCUGGCGGCGUGCUUAACACAUGCAAGUCGAACGGAAAGGCCCUGCGUUUGUGGGGUGCUCGAGUGGCGAACGGGUGAGUAACACGUGAGUAACCUGCCCUUGACUUUGGGAUAACUUCAGGAAACUGGGGCUAAUACCGGAUAGGAUCUCCUGCUGCGUGGUGGGGGUGGGAAAGUUUCGGCGGGUGGGGAUGGACUCGCGGCUGAUCAGUUAGUUGGUGGGGUAGGGGCUGACCAAGGCUUUGACGGGUAGCCGGCCGGUGAGGGGGAUCGGCCGCAUGAGAAGGGGGACACGCACCUGGCGCCUGCGGGAGGGAGCAGUGGCGAACGGUGGACAACGGGCGCGAGCCUUGCCCAGCGGGACGGAGUCGGUGACGAAAGCGCUCGGUUCGGAAAGCCCGCCUGUGGGGUGAGAAAAGCUUCAGCCUGUGACGAAGCGUGAGUGACGGUACUCAAUGAAGAAGCACCGGCUAACUACGUG